UGACGUUUUAUGUAAAUGGGAUUCUAAGGC
rnacentral:piRNA from 1 species